rnacentral:rRNA from 1 species
CCUACGGGGGGCUGCAGUGGGGAAUAUUGGACAAUGGGCGAAAGCCUGAUCCAGCCAUGCCGCGUGUGUGAAGAAGGCCUUCGGGUUGUAAAGCACUUUCAGUGGGGAAGAAAGCCUUGGGGCUAAUACCCUCGAGGAAGGACAUCACCCACAGAAGAAGCACCGGCUAACUCCGUGCCAGCAGCCGCGGUAAUACGGAGGGUGCGAGCGUUAAUCGGAAUUACUGGGCGUAAAGCGCGCGUAGGCGGUCUGAUAAGCCGGUUGUGAAAGCCCCGGGCUCAACCUGGGAACGGCAUCCGGAACUGUCAGGCUAGAGUGCAGGAGAGGAAGGUGGAAUUCCCGGUGUAGCGGUGAAAUGCGUAGAGAUCGGGAGGAAUACCAGUGGCGAAGGCGGCCUUCUGGACUGACACUGACGCUGAGGUGCGAAAGCGUGGGUAGCAAACAGGAUUAGAUACCCUAGUAGUC